AACGGCGAGUGAAGCGGCAAGAGCUCAAAUUUGAAAUCUGGCUCCUUCGGGGCCCGAGUUGUAAUUUGUAGAGGAUGCUUCGGGCGUGGCCGCGGUCUAAGUCCCCUGGAACGGGGCGUCGCAGAGGGUGAGAAUCCCGUCUUCGGCCGGCCGGCCCCGCCCGUGUGAAGCUCCUUCGACGAGUCGAGUUGUUUGGGAAUGCAGCUCUAAAUGGGUGGUAAAUUUCAUCUAAAGCUAAAUACUGGUCGGAGACCGAUAGCGCACAAGUAGAGUGAUCGAAAGAUGAAAAGCACUUUGAAAAGAGAGUUAAACAGCAUGUGAAAUUGUUGAAAGGGAAGCGCUUGCGACCAGAGUCGGCCGCGGGGGCUCAGCGGGCACUCGUUGCCCGUGCACUCCCCCGUGGUCGGGCCAGCGUCGGUUUCGACGGCCGGUCAAAGGCCCCCGGAAUGUGUCGCCUCUCGGGGCGUCUUAUAGCCGGGGGUGCAAUGCGGCCAGUCGGGACCGAGGAACGCGCUCCGGCACGGACGCUGGCUUAAUGGUCGUAAGCGACCCGUCUUGAAACACGGACCAAGGAGUCUAACAUCCACGCGAGUGUUCGGGUGUCAAACCCGUCCGCGCAGUGAAAGCGAACGGAGGUGGGAACCCUCAAGGGUGCACCAUCGACCGAUCCUGAAGUCUUCGGAUGGAUUUGAGUAAGAGCGUGGCUGUUGGGACCCGAAAGAUGGUGAACUAUGCCUGAAUAGGGUGAAGCCAGAGGAAACUCUGGUGGAGGCUCGCAGCGGUUCUGACGUGCAAAUCGAUCGUCAAAUUU
rnacentral:rRNA from 1 species